GAAAAGCGUCUAGCGAGACGGACAGGUAACCGUACUAAAACCACCACAGGUAGACAGGUAGAAAAUACUAAGGCGCGUGAGACAACUCUCGUUAAGGAACUCUGCAAAAUGGCUUCGUAACUUUGGAAGAAGAAGUGCCUAAGGCUGUAAUACUUCUAGCAAGUAAAGCGGUCUAAGGUCGCAGUGAACCGAUUCAAUCGACUGUUUAUCAAAAACACAGGUCAAUGCUAAACUGUAAAGUGAUGUAUAUUGGCUGACGCCUGCCCAGUGCUGGAAGGUUAAUAGGAGAUGUUAAUGCCGCUUGCGGUGUGACGCAUCGAAUUGAAGCCCCAGUGAACGGCGGCCGUAACUAUAACGGUCCUAAGGUAGCGAAAUUCCUUGUCGGGUAAGUUCCGACCCGCACGAAAGGCGUAACGAAUUGAAUACUGUCUCAACGAGAGACUCAGUGAAAUUGAAGUGUCCGUGAAGAUACGGACUACCUACAGCUAGACAGAAAGACCCCGUGGAGCUUUACUGUAACUUGGCUUUGUAAUUUGAAUUAAUUUGUGCAGGAUAGGUGGGAGACUAUGAGACUGGCCCGCUAGGGCUAGUGGAGUCGCUGGUGAGAUACCACCCUGAUUCGUUUAGAUUACUAACUUGUCUGUUGAAACGACAGAAAGGACAUAGUCUGGUGGGCAGUUUGACUGGGGCGGUCGCCUCCUAAACAGUAACGGAGGCGCUCAAAGGUUCUCUCAAAACGGUUGGAAACCGUUUGUAGAGCGUAAGGGUAGAAGAGAGCUUAACUGUGAGACCUACAAGUCGAACAGAGACGAAAGUCGGACCUAGUGAUCCGGUGAUACCGAAUGGAAGGGUCAUCGCUCAACGGAUAAAAGUUACCCCGGGGAUAACAGGCUUAUCUCCCCCAAGAGUCCAUAUCGACGGGGAGGUUUGGCACCUCGAUGUCGGCUCGUCGCAUCCUGGAGCUGAAGAAGGUUCCAAGGGUUGGGCUGUUCGCCCAUUAAAGCGGUACGUGAGCUGGGUUCAGAACGUCGUGAGACAGUUUGGUCCAUAUCUGCUGUAGGCGUUGGAAAUUUGAGAGGCGCUGUUCCUAGUACGAGAGGACCGGAACGGACAUACCGCUGGUGUAUCAGUUAUCGUGCCAACGGUAAAUGCUGAGUAGCUAUGUAUGGAAAAGGUAACCGCUGAAAGCAUCUAAGCGGGAAACUUACCUCAAGAUGAGAUUUCCCAUUUCUAUAAGUAAUUAUAAGAAAGUAAGACCUCUUGAAGACAACAAGGUUGAUAGGCUAGGUGUGUAAGCAUAGUAAUAUGUAUAGCGGACUAGUACUAAUUGGUCGAGGUCUUAACUAU
rnacentral:rRNA from 1 species